ensembl:lncRNA
AGGGUGCAUUUGCAUGAUGCAUUGCUCGCAUUUUUGCGGGGGAAGAUGCAUUUUGCGUGAUGCAGUGCUUGUGUUUUGCAAGGGGAGGUGUGUUUGCAUGAUGCAUUGCUUGCAUUUUGCAGUGGGGGUCCAUUUGCGUGCUGCAGUGCAUGCGUUUGUGCAAGGGAGGGUGCAUUUGCAUGAUGCAUUGCUCGCAUUUUUGCGGGGGAAGAUGCAUUUUGCAUGAUGCAGUGCUUGUGUUUUGCAAGGGGGGUGUGUUUGCAUGAUGCAUUGCUUGCGUUUUGCAGUGGGGGUGCAUUUGCGUGCUGCAGUGCGUGCGUUUGUGCAAGGGAGGGUGCAUUUGCAUGAUGCAGUGCUUGCAUUUUGCAAGGGGAGGUGUUGCUGUGUAGUUCCUUGUUUGCAUUUUGCAAGAGAGGAUGCAUUUGCAUGAUGCAUUGCUUGCACUUUUGCAGGGGAAGAUGCAUUUUGCGUGAUGCAGUGCUUGUGUUUUGCAAGGGGGGUGUGUUUGCACGAUGCAUUGCUUGCGUUUCGCGAUGGGGGUGCAUUUGCGUGCUGCAGUGCAUGCGUUUAUGCAAGGGAGGGUGCAUUUGCAUGAUGCAGUGCUCGCAUUUUUGCGGGGGAAGAUGCAUUUUGCAUGAUGCAGUGCUUGUGUUUUGCAAGGGGAGGUGUGUUUGCAUGAUGCAUUGCUUGCAUUUUGCAGUGGGGGUCCAUUUGCGUGCUGCAGUGCAUGCGUUUGUGCAAGGAAGGGUGCAUUUGCAUGAUGCAUUGCUUGCACUUCCGCAGGGGAAGAUGCAUUUUGCAUGAUGCAGCGCUUGCACUUUGCACGGGGGGUGCAUUUGCUUGCUGUAAGGCAUGCAUUUUUUGCAAGAGAGGAUGCAUUUGCGUGACACAGUGCUUCCAUUUUGCAAAGGGGGGGGGGGGGGGAUGCAGCUGCAUGCAGUUUGCAGCAGCUCACCUCCCACCCGUGCAUGGAGCACCGCCCUUUGGGUUGCAACGCUUUUUGCAGUGCGUUUAUUUUCUGAUAGGAAAA